AAAGUCCCCUUCGGGGGGCAAGUAGAGUGGCGCACGGGUGAGUAACACGUAGGUAAUCUACCUUUGGAUGGGGAAUAACAACCGGAAACGGUUGCUAAUACCGCAUAAUGCAGCGGCACCUAAUGGUGACAGUUGUUAAAGCGGGGGAUCGAAAGACCUCGCGUCUAAAGAGGAGCCUGCGGCGGAUUAGCUAGUUGGUAAGGUAACGGCUUACCAAGGCGACGAUCCGUAGCCGGCCUGAGAGGGCGGUCGGCCACACUGACACUGACAUACGGGUCAGACUCCUACGGGAGGCAGCAGUCGGGAAUUUUGGGCAAUGGGCGAAAGCCUGACCCAGCAACGCCGCGUGAAGGAUGAAAUCCCUCGGGAUGUAAACUUCGCAAGAACGGGAAGAAUAAGUAGGGGACAAUACCCCCUAUGAUGACGGUACCGUUUGUAAGCUCCGGCUAACUCCGUGCCAGCAGCCGCGGUAAUACGGGGGGAGCAAGCGUUGUUCGGAUUUACUGGGCGUAAAGGGCGCGUAGGCGGCCAGCACAAGUCAGUUGUGAAAUCUCCGAGCUUAACUCGGAAAGGUCAACUGAUACUGUGCGGCUAGAGUGCGGAAGGGGCAACUGGAAUUCUUGGUGUAGCGGUGAAAUGCGUAGAUAUCAAGAGGAACACCUGCGGCGAAGGCGGGUUGCUGGGCCGACACUGACGCUGAAGUGCGAAAGCCAGGGGAGCGAACGGGAUUAGAUACCCCGGUAGUCCUGGCCUUAAACGAUGAAUGCUUGGUGUCUGGGGUUAUAAAGUCCCCGGGUGCCGUCGCUAACGCUUUAAGCAUUCCGCCUGGGGAGUACGGUCGCAAGACUG
rnacentral:rRNA from 1 species